rnacentral:rRNA from 1 species
GACGAACGCUGGCGGCGUGCUUAACACAUGCAAGUCGAACGAAGAGCGAUGGAAGCUUGCUUCUAUCAAUCUUAGUGGCGAACGGGUGAGUAACGCGUAAUCAACCUGCCCUUCAGAGGGGGACAACAGUUGGAAACGACUGCUAAUACCGCAUACGAUCUAAUCUCGGCAUCGAGGAUAGAUGAAAGGUGGCCUCUACAUGUAAGCUAUCACUGAAGGAGGGGAUUGCGUCUGAUUAGCUAGUUGGAGGGGUAACGGCCCACCAAGGCGAUGAUCAGUAGCCGGUCUGAGAGGAUGAACGGCCACAUUGGGACUGAGACACGGCCCAGACUCCUACGGGAGGCAGCAGUGGGGAAUCUUCCGCAAUGGACGAAAGUCUGACGGAGCAACGCCGCGUGAGUGAUGACGGCCUUCGGGUUGUAAAGCUCUGUUAAUCGGGACGAAAGGCCUUCUUGCGAACAGUGAGAAGGAUGACG